rnacentral:lncRNA from 1 species
GGGACAAAGUGAUGCGACAUUGAUGGCUCCCUAACCAACCUAUACUAAGCAUAUAGGAUAAACACGCAGGUAUCAACAACAUGAUACAAAAUCAGGCUAUGCAUCAUAACAGGAUCAAACAAAUAAAGUAGCAAAAUUCUAAUGCAAGCUUGAGGGAGAAAUAAUUUGGCAAUAUCGCAACGGUCAAAGGGGGUUGCUUUCCUUGUUAAU